AGGACGAACGCUGGCGGCGUGCCUAACACAUGCAAGUCGAACGCGCUCCAUUCGGUAGCAAUACUGAUGAAGAGGGAGUGGCGAACGGGUGAGUAGCACGUGAGCAACCUGCCCCGAAGACUGGGACAACACCGGGAAACCGGUGCUAAUACCGGAUAUCCCUAUCGGACCGCAUGAUCUGAUAAGGAAAUGGAUUCCGCUUCGGGAGGGCUCGCGGCCUAUCAGCUAGUUGGUGAGGUAAUAGCUCACCAAGGCAUCGACGGGUAGCUGGUCUGAGAGGACGAUCAGCCACACUGGGACUGAGACACGGCCCAGACUCCUACGGGAGGCAGCAGUGGGGAAUCUUGCGCAAUGGGCGAAAGCCUGACGCAGCAACGCCGCGUGGAGGACGAAGGCUUUCUGAGUUGUAAACUCCUUUCAGCAGGGACGAGUUGUGACGGUACCUGCAGAAGAAGCACCGGCCAACGUACGCGCCAGCA
rnacentral:rRNA from 1 species